rnacentral:rRNA from 1 species
UACAGAGGUCCCGAGCGUUGUUCGGAUUCAUUGGGCGUAAAGGGUGCGUAGGCGGCGAGGCCAGUCUGAUGUGAAAUCCCGGGGCUCAACCCCGGAACGGCAUUGGAUACUGCUUUGCUAGAGUACUGGAGAGGAGACUGGAAUUUACGGUGUAGCAGUGAAAUGCGUAGAGAUCGUAAGGAAGGCCAGUGGCGAAGGCGAGUCUCUGGACAGUUCCUGACGCUGAGGCACGAAGGCCAGGGGAGCAAACGGG